rnacentral:tRNA from 2 species
UAGGUGGAUGCUCGCUGGAUAGAGCGCUUAGCUGUUAACUAAGAGUUUGUAGGAUCAAGGCCUUCCCACCUAG